AAGGCCGUGUCCAGGGCUGCGCCCAGGUCCCUACUCUGCCCGGGGCGGGUUUGCGGGCCAAGCUGGGUGAUGGGCUCCUGCCCCCUCCGCCCCCUACCUGCUCCCUGUGCCAGGGGAGAAACCAAGGCCCAGAGUUCACCCGGGGGCGGUGAGAUUCCAGACUGAGGAGGGGGCACUCGCCCCCGUUCGUCGUCCCACCCCCACCAGACUCCGUAGGGUGCCAGGGACGGGGAGAGAGCGAUCCCCCGCCCAAGGCCCCGCUGCCCCUUACUGUUUUGGGCGCUGUGCCUGGGAGGCUGAGGCACCCCGCGCCCUCGCCCGCGCCCAGCUGGUCUACUCUCGGGGCUGGGGCGUCGGCGCGGCCCCGGCCGCACCUGGAAAGGAAGGGGUCUUGGGAAUCUCUGGAGCAGCGUGGGGACCCUACUCCUUGUGGAAGCAGCGAUUCAGUGUGUGUUAACAGUGUGGAUGCCGGUCCCGCUCCCCCUCUGGGUGGCGGGGGUGGGGGUAGCAGGAAGGGGUCCUGAGCAACCAUGUUGUUUGUUAACUUAAACGUUUGUGCGGCGCUGUGUACCGGUCGCUGUGGACGCGAUCUCUGGUGCUGAGGGGAUUUGAGGGUUCCUCACACUGGCGGGAUUUGGAGCCUCUACCCUGGUGGCAGUGGGUUUAGUGGGUUACCCUGGUGGCUAGUGGUUAAGUGCUAAGGCUGCUAGCCAAAAGGUUGGCAGUUUGAAUCCACCAGGCGCUCCUUGGAAACUCUGUGGGGCAGUUCUACUCUGUCCUAUAGGGUCGCUAUGAGUCAGAAUUGACUCGAUGGCCACAGGUGUGGUUUUUUUUUUUUUUUAGGUUGGAGAUUAGGUGUCUCUCGGGCUGACAUUUGAAGGUCUGGAGCUGGCCGUUUAUGAGGGUUUAUAAGGGUUUUAAGUGCUCCGGCCAUGGGCACCAACCCGAUCUUCCAGCCCCUGCGGACGGACCGCCUCCCCCGCCCCGGGGGGAUUGGCUGCUCUGGGACCCCGAGCCCAGAGGGCGGUGAGAAGCUGACAAACCUUAAAUACAGACCAGAAGAGGAGUUUGGGGCUUGACACCUGACGUCUUAACACCAGUUCCUGUUUCUUGAGGAAGGAAGAGGUAAAAUAAAUCAGCGUUUACUGUGUCCUUCUCCAUCCCCGGAAGUCUUCAUGAAGACCCUCUCAGCUUCUACUUGAACGUGAAUAUGAGCAACUGAUCAUCUGUUCUGCGGUCAGCCCCUGGCCUGAUUCUGACUCAUGAUAUUGACCUUCUCCAUCAUCACCUUCCACAAAUUUGAUUCCUAUCUAUUCUGCCUGGAAUAGUUCAUGAGUAUAGUCACCAUUUAUGUUCCUGACGAAAGACAUUAUGCUCAUUCUCAGGGCCCUGAGACCUCAUCUGCAGCAGGUGAAGGCAUUCGUGGAGAGAGGCGGUUUCCGUGCGUGCAGGCAAAGUGUGUGCUGAGAUGAGUCGCUGGAGACUGGGGUGGACUCUUCAGACCCAGGAUAGGCCUCUGGCAGGUAUAUGUCAAUGUUUUCUGCCCAUGGCACUCACCCGGAUAUUUGCAUACAAUGUUAUCAGUGGAAUUAGUAGUCUCCAGAGAGGCUGCCACAUGUCAGCAAGCUUCACCUGGCCAGGUCCGCCCAGGAUGUAGCUCCCCAAUCAAUCACUACUCUCUAGACCUUCCAGAUAGACUAGCAGAUCUUCUCUGCCCAUGGGCAACCAGUAGAGCCAGAGGCCUUCUCUCUUUGCUCUUUCGUCUCUAGGCAUUCUAUCAGGCAUUCCAAGCUGUGAAGUGCCUGGGAGGAGAAGGAAGAGAUUUCAGAGAAUGAACACAUACAGAGAGACAGGCAAGAGACGGUGAGUGGGGAUGUCUUGCCUACUGAUAUCCUCAGGAAAGUGGGAAAAUUGGACCCUGGCCUGCUAUGACAAUGCCCUGAAGCAGUCCGCACCAGGGGCUCCCUUGUGCCUGCAUAGCCUUUCCCAGGGUGUGCUCAAAUCCUGUGGCCACUAGGUGUCCUGGGUCACAAUGGAGGGCCCUGUGUCAUCUGCCUGUUGGGCUGGAUCUCUGCCAUUGGCUGAGUCUUGUCACCAGGCCCAUCAUAAGCUCUGCCCACUCUUCCUGUGGGGGGACUGUCUCCAUGGUGAUGGCAAAGAAGCCUGAGUUCCGCCCACCUGGCCUUGACUUCACCUACCUGGCCUGCUGACCCUCACUCAGACCUCUGUGUUGAUCAAAAUGAAUGUCCGCCAGUGGCCAGGUGUCAGCAUCUGGGAUAAAGGAUUGGGGACCUUGCCUGGGGCAGAAGGCAGCCUAGGUCUGUGGGUACCUGGAAGUCUUGUGACUUCUGCCGCUGCUGCCAGUGACAGAUGGUGACUCCCACACUCACAUAUCCCCUGGUGGCAGAAGGAUAGUGAUGGGCGGAGAAACAUGGCUCCGGAGCACACUUUAAAUGCGGCACCAGCCAAAGGCCAGGGCAAGGAGUGGACGUCGUGGAGCUUAAUUGCAAGCCAGUGAAGGGCCCAAGGAUUUCUCCUAUAUGUGGCAAACAGGUCAUCCGUGUCCCCACGUCCAUAAACCAUUGGACUGCAGUGCCAGACUGCCAGGAUUUCGGCCUUGCCAUUGGAGCCCGUCCACAUACGCUGCGUUGCACCGGAGGCGGGGACAUGUAGACAGCAAAAAUUUGGAAAAUGGCAUCAUCUCUUCAAUUUCCCUAGCAUUGGCCUUUUUCAGUGGCAUGCUUUGUUUCCUAGUAGGAUAAGGCACUGACGGAGAAAGGCAGGAGUAUGUGUGUAGGAAAGGUGUGUGCCGAAAGGGUGACGACGUUGAGACCACGUUGGGAUCUUUAGUCCCAGGAAAGGCCCCUGGCAGGUGUGGGUCAAUGUUCUCUGCUCAUCCGAGUUGGCGGGGGAGGUUUUCACCAAACAAAGCAGCAGUGGAAUUAUUCGUAGCCUGAGAGGUUGCAUCUGCCCACAAGCUCCACCUGGCCAGGGUCCGCCCCUACUGUAUUGCCCAUGUCAAUCAACAGAAGCUAAGACCUUCCAGAGAGACUACCUGCUAUUGUCUACCCACCGGGAAGCGGUCCAGCCAGAAGCCUCCCCCGUUUCAUCUCCAGGCUCUCUGUCAGGCCCCUCAUACUUGUGAUGUGUCUCAGGGGUAGAAGGAAGAGAUUUCUCUGAAUGAACACAUCCAGAGAGGAGCCAUAGAUGCUGAGGAAGGGCGCCUUGUCUACUGAUAUCCUAGCGUAAGUGUAAAAGAGGUACCUGCCUGCUGUCCCAGUGUGUCGAACGUGUCCACAUCAGGGGUUGGCUACUGUAAAAUUAUUCCCUGGUGCCCUCGAUUUUGUGGCCAAAGACACGAGGGGCCGUUGUGUGUCCAUGGGUACAAUGGAGGGCUCUGCGGAACGGGCUGGUUAGGCUGGACUUCUCCUAUUGGCUCAGUGUUUGUGACUCGUCCCCGUCAGAAGUUCCGCCCAGCCUUCUGGUGGCUGUCUCCAUGAGGAUUGGGAAAGAAGCCCUAGGCCCCGCACUCGGCCUUCACCUGGCCUACCUGGCCUCUUUACCCUCAUCUAGACCGCUCUGUGCAUGAAAGAAAGGAUGUCGGCCACUGACCAAGCAUCCUCAUUUCCUUGGAAGUAUUAGGCUCCUUGCGUGGGCAGAAGACAGCCAAGGUCAGCCUGAGCCUAGACACCUAGUGACCUGUGACACUGCAGCCAGCGAUAGAUGUUGAUGUCCACGCUCAGGUAUCCGCAGUUGACGGAUUCAGAGUGGUCAGAGGAGAAGUGUAACUAGAGAUCACACACUCAUGAGGGCACGGGCCCAAGGUCAGGGAAAAUAGCUGAGGUCGUGGAGCUCUAGCGGAGCCAGUCAAGGGCCCAGGCCUCCCUCCUGUACGUGGCAAAGAGGUGUCACCUUCCGCAGAGUAUGCUGCCACCCGCAGACUCUGGACUGCUGGGGCCCUGGAUGCCCGGAUUUCGGCCUUGUGUUUGGAGAAGUGACGUGCAUGCAGUGUGCCACCGGGGGCUGUGGCCCAGCAGAAGCAAAAUCUUGAAAAUGGGAGCUUCAGUUGACUUUGCGUGUUCUCUCCCUUGGCUGAGUGCCAUCCUGUGUUUCCUAGCAGGAGAAGGCAUUCGUGGAGAAAGGCAGAUUCCAUGUGUGCAGGCAAAGUGUGUGCUGACAUGAUGAGACCCUGGAGACCAGGGUGGACUCUUCAGACCCAGGACAGGCCUCUGGCAGGUAUGUGUCAAUGUUUUCUGCCCGUGGCACUCAACCGGGUAUUUGCAUACAGUGUCAUCAGCAGAAUUAGUAGUCUCCGGAGAGGCUACCACAUGUCAGCAAGCUUCACCUGGCCAGAGUCCACCCGUGAUGUAGCUCCCCAAUCAGUCACUACUGUCUAGACCUUCCAGAUAGACUAGCAGAUCUUCUCUGCCCAUGGGCAACCAGUAGAGCCAGAGGCCUUCCCCCUUUGCUCUUUCGUCUCUAGGCUCUCUAUCAGGCACUCCAAGCUGUGAAGUGACUCAGGGAGAGAAGGAAGAGAUUUCAGAGAAUGAACACAUACAGAGAGAGAGGCAAGAGAUGCUGAGUGGGGAUGUCUUGCGUACUGAUAUCCUCAGGAAAGUGGGAAAAUUGGACCCUGGCCUGCUCUGCCAAUGCCGUGAAGCAGUCCACUCCAGGGGCUCCCUUGUGCCUGCAUAGCCUUUCCCAGGGUGUGCUCAAAUCCUGUGGCCACUAGGUGUCCUAGGUCACAAUGGAGGACCCUGUGUCAUCUGCCUGGCGGACUGGAUCUCUGCCAUUGGCUGAGUCUUGUCACCAGGCCCAUCAUAAGCUCUGCCCACUCUUCCGGUGGGGAGACUCUCUCCAUGGUGAUGGCAAAGAAACCUUAGUCCUGCCCACCUGGCCUUCACUUCACGUACCUGGCCUGCUGACCCUCACUCAGACCUCUGUGUUGAUCAAAAUGAAUGUCCGCCAGUGGCCCGGUGUCAGCGUCUGGUAUAAAGGAUUCGGGACUGUGCCUGAGGCAGAAGGCAGCCUAGGUCUGCGGGUACCUGGAAGUCUAGUGACUUGUGACGCUGCUGCCAGUGACAAAUGGUGACUCCCACACUCACAUAUCCCCUGGUGGCAGAAGGAUAGUGAUGGGUGGAGAAACAUGGCUCCGGAGCACACGUUCAGUGGGGCACCGGCGAAAUGCCAGGGCCAGUAGUGGACGUCGUGGAGCUGUAUGGCGAGCCAGUGAAGGGCCUAAGGAUUUCUCCGAUGAGGCAAAAUGCAGAUCAAGCCAAGGAACACAAAGAUAAAGCAGCUGAAGAAAUUAAAAAGGUUACUCAAGAACAUAAUUAAAAAUUUAAUAAGCUGUAAGAAACCAUAGAGAGACUGCAAUCAGAGAUUGAGAAGAUUAACAAUAAAAUUACAGUUAGAAAACUCAAUAGAAAGUAAGAAGAGCACAAUUGAGGAAUUGGAAGGCAGAAUUACUGAGAUUGAAGAUCAAACUCUUGGGACUAAUAUAUUUGAUGAGAAAGCAGAUAAAAGAAUUUUAAAUGAAGAAAUCCAAAGAAUCAUGUGGGACUUUAUCAAGAGAAAUAACUAUGAGUGAUUUCAGUACCAGAACAGGGAGGGCUAACAGAAAAUACAAAGGGAACUGUUGAAGAUUUGUUGGCAGAAAACUUCCAUGAUAUCAUGAAAGAUGCUCAUCGAAUUCCACAUAAGGUAGAUCUCAAAAGAAAGUGACCGAGACACAUAAUAAUCAAACUUGCCAAAAUCAAAUAUAAAGAGAAUUUUAAGAGAGGCUAGGGAUAAAGGAAGUCACCAACAAAGGAGAGUAAAUAAUAAAAAACUUGGACUACUCAGCAGAAAUCAUGCAGGCAAGAAGGCAAAGGGAUGACUUACACAAAAUAUUGAAGGAAAAAAAUUGCCAGCCAGGAAUCAAACCAUAACCCUGGCCCUCUGGCCCUCUGGCCCUCUGGCCUUAGCCCUCUAACUCUAGCCCCUAAGCCCUGAGCCCCAAAGCCCCUAAGACCCUAAGCCCUUAGGUCCUAACCCCCAAGGCCCUAAACUCUAACCCUAACCCAAACCCUAACGCCUAUACCCUAAACUCUACAACCUAAACACCUACACCCCAAAACACUACACAUCAAAACCCUACACACUAAACCCUAUACUCUAAGCCUCAAACCCUAAACCCAAACCUCAAACCCCAAACCCUAAACCUAACCGUAAACCCUAAUACCUAACCCUAACCCCUAACCACCCUAACCCUAAUGACCCUAACUCUAACCCUCGAACCCUAACCCUCUAACGCUAACAUGAAACCCUAAUCCGAAACCUGAACCCUCUAACUCUAACCUCUAGCCCUAACCCUCUAACCCUAGCCCUAAUCCUAACCCUAACCUCCAAACCCAACCCCAAACCCUAAACCUCAAAUCCCUAGCCCUAAACCUAAGAAUGAGCCUAAGCCUAACCCUAUCACUUAACUCUAAACCCUAAACCAUAACACUUAAAACCCUAACACGCAAAACCCUAACACCCUUAGCCCUAACACAUUUAACCCUAACACCCUAAACGCCAAAACCCUAAACACUAACACCCUUAACCCCAACCCCUAACCCCUAAACCCUAAACUUAAACACUAAACCGUCAAACCCUCUAACCCUAAUACCCUAAACCCUAACCCCAGCCCCCAGCCUUAAAGCUCACUCUAAGCCUUAAACCUUAAGCCCUAAACCCUAGGCUCUAAGCCCUAAGCCCUAAACUCUAAAUCCUAAAACCCUAAACUCUAAGCCCUAAGCCUAACCCUCUAAUCCUAAACCCCAAAACCUUACCCCAAACCCCUAAACCUUAAGCCCUAGCCCUAACCCCUAACCCUAAUCCUCUAAGCCUAACCCUCUAACCCUAACUCUCUAACCCUAACCACAACACCAACCCCAACCUCUGAACCCUGAAACCCUAACCCCCUAACCCCAAGCUUCUGAACCCUAAGCCUAAACCCUCUAACCCUAAACCCUAACCUUCACCCCCUCACACCCUCACCUUCUCACUCCCUCACUCUAUAAUCUUCUCACCUCUAACCCCCUCACCCUCUAACCCCUGACCCUCUAACUCCCUCAAUCUCUAACCCCCAACCCUCUAGACCCCAACCCUCUAACACCCACCCUCUAACCCCAAACCACAUAUCCCAAACAAACCCAACACCAACCCCAACCCUAAACCUAACCUCUAACUCCUAAAACCUAACCCAAACCCUAACGACUAAACCCCAAAACCCUAAACCCCAAACUGCAACCCCUAACACCUAACCUGUAACUCCAAACUCUAACUUCAAACCCUAAACCUAACCCUAACACCUAACCCCAACCAAAAAAUCCUAACCCUAAACUCUAACCCCAAACCCUAACAACCCUAACCCUAACAUCCCUAACCCCAAACCCUAACCGUUUUUGUUAGCAGCCGUAGCACAUAACCACUAGCCACCAGGGUUUCCACGAGCAGUCACAGGAAUAGACAUAUGCACAUCCGUGUUCACUGCAACAUUAUUCACAGUAGCAAAAAGAUGGGAACAACCUAAGUGCUCGUCCACAGAGGAAUGGAUAAACAAACUACGGUACAUACACACAGUGGAACACUACACGACAAUAAAGACCAAUGAUGAAUCUCCGAAACAUCUCACACCAUGGAUGAAUCUGGGGCGCAUCACACUGACUAAGUCAAUCACAAAAUGACAUAUACAGUGAGAGACCACUAUCAUAAAAACUCAUGAAAACAUUUACGCACAGAAACAAUCCUUGAUGUUCACCAGGGAGACGAAGAGUGGGUAGAGAAAAGCCAACUAAACAAUAACCAAAAAAACCAAACCCACUGCUGUCGAGUCAAUUCCAGCUCAUAGCGAUCCUACAGGACAGAUUAGAACUGCCCCAUAGAGUUUCCAAGGAGUGCCUGGUGGAUUCGAACUGCAGACCUUUGGUUAGCACCGAUGGCUCUUAACCGCUACGCCACCAGGGUUUCCAACCAAACAACAGAUCGGUGGUAACUCUGGCGAAGGAAAGACGGUACACAAGACUGGGGAAUCAACCUCAGCCUCACUCUAACCCUAACCCUAAACCACUUGUGCCCGAGCCUAGUAACCCCAGCCCUAACCCCAACCCCCAACCACCUAAAACCUAUACCCCUAAACCUAACUCCCAAACCUCUAACCCCCAAACCCUAACCCCUAACCCUAAUCCUCUAACCCUUCUGCAUCUCUGGGCCUCUCGACUCUCCGUCUAUUUUCUCCCUCGAAAUCGUACUAACACUCAGUGGAAUUUUGAA